UACGUAGGGCGCAAGCGUUAUCCGGAAUUAUUGGGCGUAAAGAGCUCGUAGGCGGUUUGUCGCGUCUGCCGUGAAAGUCCGGGGCUCAACUCCGGAUCUGCGGUGGGUACGGGCAGACUAGAGUGAUGUAGGGGGAGACUGGAAUUCCUGGUGUAGCGGUGAAAUGCGCAGAUAUCAGGAGGAACACCGAUGGCGAAGGCAGGUCUCUGGGCAUUAACUGACGCUGAGGAGCGAAAGCUGGGGAGCGAACAGGAUUAGAACCUACCGUAGUCA
rnacentral:rRNA from 1 species